UGCCCAGCAACUCCUAUCCCUACCUCCACGCGGUACCGGCCAGAAACUAUGAACAACCUUAGGGAAGAUCGGGUAACCAACCCCGGUGGGAACUUUGGUCGGAGGGUGACAGGGAAGG
rnacentral:ribozyme from 1 species